rnacentral:rRNA from 1 species
AUUGAACGCUGGCGGCAGGCCUAACACAUGCAAGUCGAACGAGUGGCGGACGGGUGAGUAAUGUCUGGGAAACUGCCUGAUGGAGGGGGAUAACUACUGGAAACGGUAGCUAAUACCGCAUACCAUCAGAUGUGCCCAGAUGGGAUUAGCUUGUUGGUGGGGUAACGGCUCACCAAGGCGCCGAUCCCUAGCUGGUCUGAGAGGAUGACCAGGCACACUGGGACUGAGACACGGGCCAGACUCCUACGGGAGGCAGCAGUGGGGAAAAUUGGACAAUGGGGGCAAGCCUGAUGCAGCCAUGCCGCGUGGAGUAAGAAGGCCUUCGGGUUGGAAAGUACUUUCAGCGGGGAGGCGUUAACUGCAGAAGAAGCACCGGCUAACUCCGUGCCAGCCGCCGCGGUAAUUC